rnacentral:rRNA from 1 species
GACGAACGCUGGCGGCGUGCUUAACACAUGCAAGUCGAACGCUGAAGCUCAGCUUUUGUUGGGUGGAUGAGUGGCGAACGGGUGAGUAACACGUGAGUAACCUGCCUCCUUCUUUGGGAUAACGCCCGGAAACGGGUGCUAAUACUGGAUAUUCACUGGUCUUCGCAUGGGGGUUGGUGGAAAGGGUUUUUCUGGUGGGGGAUGGGCUCGCGGCCUAUCAGCUUGUUGGUGGGGUGAUGGCCUACCAAGGCUUUGACGGGUAGCCGGCCUGAGAGGGUGACCGGUCACAAGGGGCCUGAGAUACGGCCAAGACUGGUACGGGAGGCAGCAGUGGGGAAUAGUGCACAAUGGGGGCAAGCCUGAUGCAGCGACGCCGCGUGAGGGAUGGAGGCCUUCGGGUUGUGAACCUCGUUCGCUCAUGGUCAAGCCGAAACAAUGGUUGUGGUGAGGGAAGUGGGGAAAGAAGCGCCGGCUAAUUACGG